rnacentral:rRNA from 1 species
GAUGAACGCUAGCUACAGGCUUAACACAUGCAAGUCGAGGGGCAGCAUGAACUUAGCUUGCUAAGUUUGAUGGCGACCGGCGCACGGGUGAGUAACACGUAUCCAACCUGCCGAUGACUCGGGGAUAGCCUUUCGAAAGAAAGAUUAAUACCCGAUGGCAUAGUUCUUCCGCAUGGUAGAACUAUUAAAGGAUUUCGGUCAUCGAUGGGGAUGCGUUCCAUUAGGUUGUUGGCGGGGUAACGGCCCACCAAGCCUUCGAUGGAUAGGGGUUCCUGAGAGGAAGGUCCCCCCACAUUGGAACUGAGACACGGUCCAAACUCCUACGGGAGGCAGCAGUGAGGAAUAUUGGUCAAUGGACGAGAGUCUGAACCAGCCAAGUUAGCGUGAAGGAUGACUGCCCUAUGGGUUGUAAACUUCUUUUAUACGGGAAUAAAGUGAGGCACGUGUGCCUUUUUGUAUGUACCGUAUGAAUAAGGAUCGGCUAACNCCGUGCCAGCAGCCGUCGGU